CCAGACUCCUACGGGAGGCAGCAGUGAGGAAUAUUGGACAAUGGUCGGAAGACUGAUCCAGCCAUGCCGCGUGCAGGAUGAAGGUCCUAUGGAUUGUAAACUGCUUUUGUAAGGGAAGAAUAAGGGGUACGUGUACUUUGAUGACGGUACCUUACGAAUAAGCAUCGGCUAACUCCGUGCCAGCAGCCGCGGUAAUACGGAGGAUGCGAGCGUUAUCCGGAAUCAUUGGGUUUAAAGGGUCCGUAGGCGGGCUGAUAAGUCAGAGGUGAAAGCGCUUAGCUCAACUAAGCAACUGCCUUUGAAACUGUCAGUCUUGAAUGAUUGUGAAGUAGUUGGAAUGUGUAGUGUAGCGGUGAAAUGCUUAGAUAUUACACAGAACACCGAUAGCGAAGGCAUAUUACUAACAAUUUAUUGACGCUGAUGGACGAAAGCGUGGGGAGCGAACAGGAUUAGAUACCCUGGUAGUCCACGCUGUAAACGAUGGAUACUAGCUGUUUGGAGCAAUCUGAGUGGCUAAGCGAAAGUGAUAAGUAUCCCACCUGGGGAGUACGCACGCAAGUGUGAAACUCAAAGGAAUUGACGGGGGCCCGCACAAG
rnacentral:rRNA from 1 species